rnacentral:rRNA from 1 species
CUACGGGUUGCUCCAGUGAGGAAUUUUGCGCAAUGGGGGAAACCCUGACGCAGCAACGCCGCGUGAGUGAAGAAGGCCCUUGGGUCGUAAAGCUCUGUCAAUGGGGAAGAAGUUAUUAUGUGUUAAUAGCACAUUUUAUUGACGGUACCCAUGAAGGAAGCACCGGCUAACUCCGUGCCAGCAGCCGCGGUAAUACGGGGGGUGCAAGCGUUAUUCGGAAUUAUUGGGCGUAAAGGGCACGCAGGCGGUCCGGUCAGUCAGAUGUGAAAGCCCGGGGCUCAACCCCGGACGUGCAUUUGAACAGCAGGACUUGAGUACGGGAGAGGAAAGGGGAAUUCCUGGUGUAGAGGUGAAAUUCGUAGAUAUCAGGAGGAACACCGGUGGCGAAGGUGCCUUUCUGGACCGAUACUGACGCUGAGGUGCGAAGGCGUGGGUAGCGAACGGGAUUAGAUACCCUAGUAGUC